rnacentral:rRNA from 1 species
AAAGGAAUAGACGGGGGCCCGCACAAGCAGCGGAGCAUGUGGUUUAAUUCGAAGCAACGCGAAGAACCUUACCAGGGCUUGACAUCCACAGUAGGCGGUAGAGAUACUGCUGUGCCCCGUAAGGGGAACUGUGAGACAGGUGGUGCAUGGUUGUCGUCAGCUCGUGUCGUGAGAUGUUGGGUUAAGUCCCGCAACGAGCGCAACCCCUAUUGCUAGUUGCUAACGCGUUAUGGCGAGCACUCUAGCGAGACUGCCGGGGACAACUCGGAGGAAGGUGGGGAUGACGUCAAAUCAUCAUGCCCCUUAUGUCCUGGGCUACACACGUGCUACAAUGGCCGGUACAGAGGGCCGCUAAGGAGUAAUCCGGAGCCAAUCCCUAAAAAGCCGGUCUCAGUUCGGAUUGUGGGCUGCAACCCGCCCACAUGAAGUCGGAGUUGCUAGUAAUCGCGGAUCAGCCAUGCCGCGGUGAAUGCGUUCCCGGGCCUUGUACACACCGCCCGU